UGCGUAGGUGGCGGGGUAAGUCGGAUGUGAAAGCUCGGAGCUCAACUCCGAAAUGGCAUUGGAAACUACCUUGCUCGAGGGUUGGAGGGGGGACUGGAAUGCUUGGUGUAGCAGUGAAAUGCGUAGAUAUCAAGCGGAACACCAGUGGCGAAGGCGAGUCCCUGGACAACUCCUGACACUGAGGCACGAAAGCUAGGGAGCAAACA
rnacentral:rRNA from 1 species